CUUGAAAAACAUACCCUGUUCAAGACACAACACUGUAAAUUUUUAAACCCCAUCCAAGACCUAAGAGAAUGUAGCGUUGUUUAAGUGAGCGUUACGCCCCCUGGGCUAUCCAUGCCUUUCGAAUAAAGAUGGCCGCCGCGGCAUCGUCGUCUACUUUUCGUUUUCGACGCAGGAAGUCGUUUUAUUCAUACGAUAUCUUGACGUCAAACUUAAAAGCUGUAUAAAGGAUUUGCACCAUCACGUGAUGGCAGGCAUGACAGGAGGCACAACAAUAGUCUUUUUCCUCCCGGGGAAACUGAAUUUAUUCUCGUGCCAUUCAGACUAGAUCAGAUUCAAUAGUUCCUGCCUCCUGUCAUGGCUGCCUCUGUUCACUCAUAGUUAGUCAAAGAGUGGAAUCCAGUCCCCUCUACUAACAUUCUACUAACUAUGAUUCACUGGCCAAUGAAUGAAGCAUCAGUCAAUACGAAUCAACCAAAAUCAGCCUGCCUUAUAUAGACAAUGGAUUAUAUUUUUACUUACUUGUCUUGCGCUUUCUUGUAGAUAGCAGACUAUCUAUCUUUUCGCUGGAGAACGGUUUGUUUCAUGUCAGUUGCUCGCUUAAAAAUCGAUGGAUUUUUAUGCGGAAACUUUAGAAAACGUAAAAAGAAAGAAUAAUCAAAGAACUGGAACAACUGAAAAGCGAAAAUUACAGAUAUUAUGCGUUGAACUGAAAGCCAUGGGCCCAGGAUUGUAUCAACCCUUGCAUUCGUCUCUUUAGAACAAAAAAAAGUUUACUGCACGGGCUAGCAAGAUGAAAAAACUAUUCUCUACAAGGCAAGGAUUACAGUAUUUCAAAGACGGGCUUCUAGCCAUGAUUUAUAUAAUGAAUGAAUGCUACCUAGUCCGCAUACAUAAGCUUGGUCAGCAAAUUGUGCAUGAAGAGUCGUUUCCAGAACUCAACUCAACUCAGCUCAGGUUUUCUAAUACUCGGAACCAGAAAGAACCGAAAAAGUUCACAUGGCUUUGCUGGAAGAAGUAGACAAUUGCUUUUCAUUAUUGAAAUUUGUUAAAAGAUUGAUUUCCACAUUUCUUUAUAAAAGAUGUAAAUUCUUUAUAAAAAAUGUAAUUAUGCUAAAACCACGCACGGAGUACAGACCAUUUCCCUCAGAAAAGCAUGGAACAUUUCCUUAUCGUUAAAUAAAUAAAUAAGUUUACUUAAAUAAC